AGACCCUCCUGCAAACUGUGAUUGUUUCUCCUUUUCCUGUUGAAAGUGCUGCUUUCUGAUACGGAAGAAGCAGAAGACCUAGAAGACAUGAUUGCUCGAACAUUUUUACUGCUUGAAUGUCACGUUUUGAGGCUGAUGCACCCACUACAAGUGAUAUAAUAUUUAUGUGCACAGCAAAAAUGGGUAUCAGAACUUAAAGUGAACCAGAUGGCUUAAGAAAGGACUCUGAACUGGAGGAUUUAAAAAUGCCCUUUGACUGUCAAGAUAAAGCUGGUAACUUUCCAUGGAGCCUUUUAGAAUGAUCCCAGUUUCCAGAAGAAACCCAUGCAGCUCUGGGACUUCAGGACAUAUGGGAUCUGCAUCUUUGUUGCUGACUCCCACUUCUGUUUUAAAAGGCAGCAAGAUAAACAGCCACUAUGGAAGGACUCUCCUCUGCUGUAUGAUCAGGCAAGCCAUGUCUUCUUAGCAUGAUCAGGACGAUGAUUCUUGACAGAGCUAAAAUUUUCCAAGGAAGAUAUUAAUUUUCAUUAAGGUAAGAAUGCCAAUGCCAUGUUUUUUUCAAUAAGCAGCAAAGACCCACAGAUACAUUUUGGACAUGUGGUAAACACCUGCUAAGUAGGCUGAGAACCUGACUCCUUCCUCCACUCAGGUCUCCAGAUCUUUCUCAGCUCUUCAUAGAUAAAGUGUUGGCUCUGUUAGAGUCAACAGGAGAUAGGCCUUUAAUUUGAGCAAGUCCAGGAU
rnacentral:lncRNA from 1 species